rnacentral:rRNA from 1 species
GUGGGGAAUAUUGGACAAUGGGGGGAACCCUGAUCCAGCCAUGCCGCGUGUGUGAAGAAGGCCUUUUGGUUGUAAAGCACUUUAAGUGAGGAGGAGGCUACCGAGAUUAAUACUCUUGGAUAGUGGACGUUACUCGCAGAAUAAGCACCGGCUAACUCUGUGCCAGCAGCCGCGGUAAUACAGAGGGUGCAAGCGUUAAUCGGAUUUACUGGGCGUAAAGCGAGCGUAGGUGGCCAAUUAAGUCAAAUGUGAAAUCCCCGAGCUUAACUUGGGAAUUGCAGUCGAUACUGGUUGGCUAGAGUAUGGGAGAGGAUGGUAGAAUUCCAGGUGUAGCGGUGAAAUGCGUAGAGAUCUGGAGGAAUACCGAUGGCGAAGGCAGCCAUCUGGCCUAAUACUGACACUGAGGUGCGAAAGCAUGGGGAGCAAACAGGAUUAGAUACCCUAGUAGUCC